rnacentral:rRNA from 1 species
UACAGAGGGGGCAAGCGUUGUUCGGAAUUACUGGGCGUAUAGGGCGCGUAGGCGGCCUUCUAAGUCGAACGUGAAAUCCCCGGGCUCAACCCGGGAACUGCGUCCGAUAUUGGAAGGCUUGAAUCCGGGAGAGGGAUGCGGAAUUCCAGGUGUAGCGGUGAAAUGCGUAGAUAUCUGGAGGAACACCGGUGGCGAAGGCGGCAUCCUGGACCGGCAUUGACGCUGAGGCGCGAAAGCCAGGGGAGCAAACGGG